rnacentral:rRNA from 1 species
GACGAACGCUGGCGGCGUGCCUAACACAUGCAAGUCGAACGGGACUUAGCGGAAAGCGGCUUCGGCCAAUGGAAGUUAAGUUUAGUGGCGAACGGGUGAGUAACGCGUGAGAAACCUGCCUCUCAGUGGGGGACAACAGUUGGAAACGACUGCUAAUACCGCAUAACAUUACCGGAGGGCAUCCUCUGGUAAUCAAAGCUUUAUGUGCUGAGAGAUGGUCUCGCGUCUGAUUAGAUAGUUGGUGGGGUAACGGCCUACCAAGUCGACGAUCAGUAGCCGGUCUGAGAGGAUGAACGGCCACAUUGGGACUGAGAUACGGCCCAG